rnacentral:rRNA from 1 species
CCUACGGGUGGCAGCAGUGGGGAAUAUUGGACAAUGGGCGAAAGCCUGAUCCAGCCAUGCCGCGUGUGUGAAGAAGGCCUUCGGGUUGUAAAGCACUUUCAGUGGGGAAGAAAGCCUUGGGGCUAAUACCCUCGAGGAAGGACAUCACCCACAGAAGAAGCACCGGCUAACUCCGUGCCAGCAGCCGCGGUAAUACGGAGGGUGCGAGCGUUAAUCGGAAUUACUGGGCGUAAAGCGCGCGUAGGCGGUCUGAUAAGCCGGUUGUGAAAGCCCCGGGCUCAACCUGGGAACGGCAUCCGGAACUGUCAGGCUAGAGUGCAGGAGAGGACGGUAGAAUUCCCGGUGUAGCGGUGAAAUGCGUAGAGAUCGGGAGGAAUACCAGUGGCGAAGGCGGCCUUCUGGACUGACACUGACGCUGAGGUGCGAAAGCGUGGGUAGCAAACAGGAUUAGAUACCCGGGUAGUC